rnacentral:rRNA from 1 species
CACGUAGGGGACGAGCGUUGUCCGGAUUCAUUGGGCGUAAAGCGCGCGUAGGCGGCUCGGAAAGUCGGUCGUGAAAUGCCGGGGCUCAACCCCGGGACUGCGUCCGAUACUCCCGAGCUGGAGGCAGGUAGGGGAGAUCGGAAUUCCUGGUGUAGCGGUGAAAUGCGCAGAUAUCAGGAGGAACACCGAUGGCGAAGGCAGGUCUCUGGGCCACUACUGACGCUGAGAAGCGAAAGCAUGGGAGCGAACAGG